rnacentral:rRNA from 1 species
GACGAACGCUGGCGGCGUGCUUAACACAUGCAAGUCGAACGGAAAGGCCCUGCUUUUGUGGGGUGCUCGAGUGGCGAACGGGUGAGUAACACGUGAGUAACCUACCCUUGACUUUGGGAUAACUUCAGGAAACUGGGGCUAAUACCGGAUAGGAGCUCCUGCUGCAUGGUGGGGGUUGGAAAGUUUCGGCGGUUGGGGAUGGACUCGCGGCUUAUCAGCUUGUUGGUGGGGUAGUGGCUUACCAAGGCUUUGACGGGUAGCCGGCCUGAGAGGGUGACCGGCGACAUUGGGACUAAGAUACGGCCCAGACGCCUACGGUAGGCAGCAGUGGGGAAUAUUGCACAAUGGGCGGAAGCCUGAGGCAGCAACGCCGCGUGCGGGAUGACGGCCUUCGGGUUGUAAACCGCUUUCGCCUGUGACGAAGCGUGAGUGACGGUAAUGGGUAAAGAAGCACCGGCUAACUACGUG